GCUUGCGUUAGUUCAGUGGUAGAGCAACUCUACCUGUGAUGGGUGGCCGGGGGUUCGAUUCCCUCACGCAGCG
rnacentral:tRNA from 1 species